rnacentral:sRNA from 1 species
UUUUUUUUUGGGUAUCCGUUAUUUGCAUACAAAAUACCCGUUUCUAUUUUUUUGGUAUUUCUAGGGCCUGAAAUUUUGUAUCCAAACCGAUCCGAACCCGACUAGACCAGACCCGAAUUGAGACCAAAUAAUUAGAAAUACUC